GGGGGUGUAUUGGUUUCGACUGGCGGAUUUCAUGCCACCAGCUGCAGGUCAAGCGCCAACUUGUCAAACUAGCAAACCAAAUUAACUGCAAAGAAAGAAGACGAGUUCGUCCUCGACGAAGCAGAAUUCGCUCUCGCUGCUUAAUCCCAGCCAGAACGGACAAGGAGCCGGAAACCCCGCCCCGGGCCCUGCUCCCUGUAAACCCAUGGGGCUUGUCUACUGCUGACGGAUGUAGGCUGUAGAGACACUUUCACCCUGGGUUCCCCUAGGACCGACCGACUGCCGCAGGGAACCGAGAACCAUCAGCCGGAUCUAAGCCUGUAGACGUUGAUGGAUGGACUGUUAGGACGGGGGUUCGACUCCCCCCACCUCCAAAA
rnacentral:tmRNA from 1 species